GGCAACUUGGCCGAGCGGUCUAAGGCGCCAGACUCAAGCGCAAGCUUCAUCCGUCCCAGCGGAUGAGUAUUCUGGUCUCGAAAGAGGCGUGAGUUCGAAUCUCACAGUUGUCA
rfam:Colletotrichum tofieldiae strain 0861 Ct_v4_contig118, whole genome shotgun sequence.